CAGUCGCCGCGGUAAUACGUAGGUGGCAAGCGUUGUCCGGAAUUAUUGGGCGUAAAGGGCUCGCAGGCGGUUUCUUAAGUCUGAUGUGAAAGCCCCCGGCUCAACCGGGGAGGGUCAUUGGAAAUUGGGAAACUUGAGUGCAGAAGAGGAGAGUGGAAUUCCACGUGUAGCGGUGAAAUGCGUAGAGAUGUGGAGGAACACCAGUGGCGAAGGCGACUCUCUGGUCUGUAACUGACGCUGAGGAGCGAAAGCGUGGGGAGCGAACAGGAUUAGAUACCCCCGUAGUCCCUGUCUCUUAUAC
rnacentral:rRNA from 1 species